AGUGAACGCUGGCGGUAGGCCUAACACAUGCAAGUCGAACGGCAGCACAGUAAGAGCUUGCUCUUACGGGUGGCGAGUGGCGGACGGGUGAGGAAUAAAUCGGAAUCUACUUUUUCGUGGGGGAUAACGUAGGGAAACUUACGCUAAUACCGCAUACGACCUACGGGUGAAAGCAGGGGAUCUUCGGACCUUGCGCGAUUGAAUGAGCCGAUGUCGGAUUAGCUAGUUGGCGGGGUAAAGGCCCACCAAGGCGACGAUCCGUAGCUGGUCUGAGAGGAUGAUCAGCCACACUGGAACUGAGACACGGUCCAGACCCCUACGGGAGGCAGCAGUGGGGAAUAUUGGACAAUGGGCGCAAGCCUGAUCCAGCCAUACCGCGUGGGUGAAGAAGGCCUUCGGGUUGUAAAGCCCUUUUGUUGGGAAAGAAAAGCAGCAGGUUAAUACCCCGCUGUUCUGACGGUACCCAAAGAAUAAGCACCGGCUAACUUCGUG
rnacentral:rRNA from 1 species